ACCUCUCUAAGCGUGGCUCAUCAACGCGAAACCCAGUGUGGAGAAGGAGAAACAGAGCAGCUGUGAGCAAAUCUCCGCACAAAGGCACGGUGCUCCUGCUCCUGGGUGCGUGUGACAGGCUCACAAGCACAGCAAUGAGACCCUGAGGCUUUCCAGUGACUCCCUGCUCCCUGACAAAGCCUCGGCAGGUUAAAAUGGCCGGAGGAGAAAGGGAAGGGCUCAGCCCCAAGGCAUCAAAAGGAAAAGGCAAGGAUGUGUCAAACUCUAUCCCUGAGGGAAGAGGCUGCAGGAAUUUUUGCACAAAACCCCUGGAAUCCCCCCAGAGGAGUCUCACACCUGUCAGAGCUGCCUGCCAAGCCAGGGCAGGAGCCAAAGGAUAACACAUUUCUCAGCAAUGUCACUCCUGCCCACAGGAUGGCAAGGUCUCGAGCUGACAUUUGCUAAACACCUUCACCACCUGCUCCCCAGAAAUAUUCCCCUCUCCCAGACGGAGGAGACCUUUCUCCUGACAGCUCCUGCCACCAGGGAGGUGCCACAAAACCACCGUGAGCUUUUUGUGCUCCAGGAACCACAGGGACACCGACACAGCAACGGGACAUUGGAAAAGUCCAGCUCCCAACCAAAUCCGCGUUGCAGCAAAGCUCCAGGAAAGUAAUGACUUUGCUAAUAGUCACCCGAGGCACAUCGGGAAUGAGCCACGCUGGAUGGCUCUGCCCAAAAAAGCGAGAGCUCCCUGCCUGGAGGGAGCUGCUAAAUGUGCAGAGCCACGCUGGGCUGCGCUGGAGCUGCGUGGGAUGCGGGAAGAGUCUGAGCCAAACACAGCCCGGGAAUGGAACGGGAAAAUGGGAAUGGAAUGGGGAACCUCCCGUGGGAGCCACAGCCGGCAGGUGAGGAGCAGGGGAAUCACUGCUCCGAGAAAUCCACACCCAAACCCAGCAAACCCUGCAGACCCCAGCACAGGGCAGGGCAGAGGGGGGCUUGGGGUUGGCAUCACCUCCAAGUGAGGAUUUUUUCGGAAUCCUGGUGUUGGAGCAGAGGCUGAGAGCACACAGAGCCCGUGUCCAUCCCCAGAGGGGCAGGACAGGGACAAAGCCCAUCCUGGAGACAGGAACCCAUCCCAGCCCUCUGCAAACCAGGAGCAGCUCUGGGGGAACCUGGGGGCUCCUCAAACGGGAACAGGAGCAAACAACACUCGGGGAAGGGUAGAAUCAACCUGCAG